AAAAUACUGUACCAAAUUCCAUAUGUAAGGAUAUUGAUUGGACCCAGGGCACGUCAGAUUAUUGAUGGUAUAAGGAUGGACAGGCUCACAUUCAGAGAAAUAUCCAUGUUUAUAUGUGGCUUCGCAAUUCUGAUUAUUGUGCUUCAAGCAAUCUCUUCUUCUCAAGUUACUCCCACCACAUGGCCUAGUCAACUGCUACUGAGCUGGGAACCAGAAGACCCUAGCAAGGUCACUUGGCUAACAUCAGGAUUUAUGCUUCACUAGUGCCAAGAUUUGGAGUCUAACACCCUCUCUUGACAUCCACUUGGAGAAUAAUUGGUUCAAUAUCUUGGCACAUGAAAAAUAAAGAUCAUCCGGAAACAUUUUGUUUUCAGGAACAAGGAAACUCAGUAGUUUCUGGGUUAGAGAUAAAAUGGACAAUUUGCUCAGCCUGAAAACAGGGCUUUUAGUGGACAAAUUUUGACACUUAGAGCAUCAAGGGAAAACAAUGGUUAAUGUCAAUUGAAACAUUCCCCAUAUGUGAUAUAAGCUACAGUGUUGAAACAAAAAUGUGAAUUUUCACAGAAAAUAUGUGCUAAAAGUUAGUUAUUUUGCCCACGAGUUUCCAAUAUUGUCUCCAAAAGUACAUAAAAUGACCAACACAAAUUUUAUGAGUCCAAGAGUGGAGUUGUAGCAACCUCCUAAAAAUACAAGAUAUAGAAGUGUUUUUUUUCAAUAUAGCAAAAGAAGAGAUUUAGAUAGGCAUGUAGGGGGAAUUUUGCGUGGUGUAUCUGGUUUUGUUAUGUUUUCUCUACUGGAGCUCUGGUGGCUCAGCUUGGCUCUUAUUUGUAGACUACUGUAGAACUCGCAUUUUGAUUGCUUGGUCAGUGAUAUAUGGGAAGUCAUGAGUCACAGACUGGGUUGUCUGUGAAAAGAAGAAAGAAAGAAAAGAGAGAAGAGAAGAGAAGAGAAAAGAGAAAACAUGAACUGGGACCAAUUUUUGGAAAUGCCACAAGCCACGCUGUUAACAAUCAGGUAACAUGUGCAGAACCUGGCUUGACCCACUUUUGUCAUUUCUUAGAUAGAAUCUGAGGCAGGGUAGGCUUUGGUGUGGAAGUAGUGCCCCAGGCUGUGUGGACACAAAUUAGAGUGGGUUUUAAUUGUAAUGGGAGUAUGGAAUUGAAUUAAUAGGGAGUUAAUUAAUAGGGAGGCAGAAGAACAGAGAACUAUCUAUGCAAUAGACACUCUCGUGAUCACUUGGGCAGGACAGCUCUGGAAGGGGAGGAGGGUGUAGCAAUUUGAUUUGGAAAAUGCAUUGUCAAAGAACCCGGUAGUUUUUGGGUUUCAUAAAAUAUAAUAACUCCUUGACAAUAUAUUGCGUAAUAGAAUUUUUUAAAUGUUAUAUCGACAACUGGGCCCAGGUGGAGUUGGGCCAAGAUGUUAUCCAGUUUGGAGAGCAAUUAUUAGGGAUGUGUAUUUGUAACUAAAUUUUCUUUAGGCUAGGGAGAAGUUCUUCCUCUAUCUCAUCUAUGAACUGGGAUGUUGACUCUAAAGAAUAGAUUUCAGGUGAUUCCAAAAAAGGAUCAAUAAUCCUAAAAAAUAAAUUAUGGAAGCCCUUUGGUCUGAACAUGUAUAUAAAAUAAGCUACUGUCCUGUAAUGCUUAGAAUAUGAAUUAUAUUUUAAGGAAAGGAUGGUGAACAGAUCUGUUGAAAAUGUCAUUCAAUGAUAGCACAAACUAAAUUUGUUUAUGCAAGUCACUAAAUAUGCUUGUCACAAGCUAUGAGUAAUAUUUACAACAUACAAUUCAAAGAUUUAAUGUCCAAAUAAAGAUUUCUUUAAAUCAACAAGUAAAGCACAAGACACUCCAAUAGAAAAAGAGGAAGGAUAAAAAUAGAAAUUCUUGGAAGAAAUAAAAAUACUUCCUAAUACAUGAAAAGUAAUUAGGGAAAUGUAAACUCAAAUAAGAUUUUUUUUUCUCAUAAUAUUCAGAAAAAUUAAGAGCUUGUUAAUAUCUACUGAUAGUCACAGUGAGAGAAAACGGGCACUCAUAUAAAUUGUUUGUAGGAAUUUGUGUAGUUUUAUUGGACGUCAA
ensembl:lncRNA